rnacentral:rRNA from 1 species
CCUACGGGAGGCAGCAGUGGGGAAUAUUGCACAAUGGGCGAAAGCCUGAUGCAGCGACGCCGCGUGGGGGAUGAAGGCCUUCGGGUUGUAAACCCCUUUCAGCAGGGAAGAAGCGAAAGUGACGGUACUGCAGAGAGNCNNNNNU